rnacentral:lncRNA from 1 species
UAUAUUCUGUUUAUCUGUAGGUGUCUCCUCCUUUCUAUAGGCUUCCUGUUCAAUUCUAUCAACACAGCUCACUGAGUUAUAUUUAUUUUGUUAUUUCCUGAGCCUAACACAUGACUGAGUGGCUCAUAAAAUUAAAAUGAGCUCUUUCUUCCUGACUGAAUGUUUACACUUUUAUAGGGUGCUUUGCUUUAAGAAAAGCUCAUAUGGGUAAUUUUUAAAUUGCAAAAACAGGUGCUUAAGAGAUGAAUUAUUUAUUUUAUAGAAGGAGCUGUCUCUGAGUUAUUUUAGAGUAUGUGUUCAGCUAUGUGUUGGAAAUUAUUUGCUUAAAGAAAAUUCGAUAGAUAUACUUUCCAUGGCGGGUACUCGGUAAAUAUUUUGAUGAUGUCAGAAAACCAGCUGUGACAGUGUCAGGUAUUUAAUCUAAAGGUAAUAUUUGUUGAAUGAAUGAAUUCUUCUUCAAGGGCCAGACCUAUUUUCCCAGCAAUUUAUUAGAUGUCACUGUCUUGCUGUCCUGCAACCAAACCCAAACUUAUCACAUGUGAAGUUUGGUGAUCUUAGCACGUGAUCUUCUUUCUCUCCUGAACUCCGUCUCCUUCGGUGUGAGCAGCACGACGGUGAUGUCCAGGGAGACUGCGCAGUCUGUCGGACAUCCAUGCACAGAGGGAAGCUUCAGAAACAACAUCAUGACCCCAGGAGGAGGGCUCAGCAGUCUCUGUAUCUCUGUUGGUGACAAAAUGGGUCCAUCUGGCUGCUGAGCAUGGACCAGCAUGUGCUGAUUGAAAAUCCUAUGACAGUCUUCUGUUGGGAUGACCUCCUGUUCUGGGCCUUCUGCAAUUAGCCGAGCAGAACUGAGAUGUGCAAGAAAUGGAAAGAGAAUCAGAUGUUGAGUCAAAGCACUGUAAGGGAGCUAACAUUUUCUGAGUGCCUGCUCCAGGCAGGCACCAUGCUAUACACAACAGGAGAUCACGGUUUAUCCCUCUUCUCUGAUGAAGGAAGAACAUACAGGAUUUCCUCUGAUACGAGACAGACUCUGAGAAGGACCAGGGAGGAAGAAACAAGUUCAUUUUGGCUGGGGCAUUUAGAAAAGUUUCUUAGAGGUAAGAUUCAAAACUAG